rnacentral:rRNA from 1 species
AAAUUGAAGAGUUUGAUCAUGGCUCAGAUUGAACGCUGGCGGCAGGCCUAACACAUGCAAGUCGAACGGUAACAGAAAGAAGCUUGCUUCUUUGCUGACGAGUGGCGGACGGGUGAGUAAUGUCUGGGAAACUGCCUGAUGGAGGGGGAUAACUACUGGAAACGGUAGCUAAUACCGCAUAACGUCGCAAGACCAAAGAGGGGGACCUUCGGGCCUCUUGCCAUCGGAUGUGCCCAGAUGGGAUUAGCUUGUUGGUGGGGUAACGGCUCACCAAGGCGACGAUCCCUAGCUGGUCUGAGAGGAUGACCAGCCACACUGGAACUGAGACACGGUCCAGACUCCUACGGGAGGCAGCAGUGGGGAAUAUUGCACAAUGGGCGCAAGCCUGAUGCAGCCAUG